UCUAUGGAAUAUACUCCCCGACCCGGGC
rnacentral:piRNA from 1 species